GCCGGCUUGGCGGAACGGUAGACGCGGCGCACUCAAAAUGCGCUGUCCGAGAGGGCGUGUGGGUUCGAGUCCCACAGUCGGUA
rnacentral:tRNA from 1 species